CACAACAAAACCAUUAUAAUCCUACAACCUUUAAAAGUGAGAACUUGGUUUUCACUAUUCAUGCAAUAGUUCAUUGACUAAAGUGCCCUUAAGCUUCUCCCAUUUAGCAUUUGUGCCAUCGUGCUCAUCUGUUGCCACGUUCCUUUGUGGGCUCUUUUCUUUUUCCUCUUUUCUCAACUCUGGGAUCUUCUUCCCCCUUCCAUUUUCAAAAAACCCUAGCUCUCAUCUCUGCAAUUUCCUCCGCCCCCUUCGCCUCCUCCUUCCAGCAUCUUAGGGGUUUUGAUUUGGUGUUUCAGAUUCGACUGCGGAUAUCUCCAUUCUCCUCCGGCACCCCACACUUUGAUCUGCUCCCAUGAACCUCUCAUCUGUAUGUUUCGAUCAUAUCUUGAAGAUUGAGUUCGAUGUAGGAAGCGGUGAGCUUAAAGCCAAUGUCGAGGAGUGGAUCUGUACUGAAGCUCUAUAUACUUCCCCUUUGUCUUUCUCCAUUGAUUUUUUCCUUUGCGAUAUUAAUAAGGUUUAACAGAAGUAAGAAAGGGAAUGAAACCGGAGAAACUGCGAGCUCUUGAUUCGUCUUCGUGCAAGAUAAUCAGCUUCUGUGACGGAUAAUUAGGCUGGAAAUUUAGCUUUGGUGAGUAAUUAUGGGAAGCAGUGAUGACGUGAUGUCUCCUAAGUCAGAAAAAACAUCUCCACCUGCAACUGAGCACAAUGUCGUUCAUAUGUAUCCUGACUGGGCGGCCAUCCAGGCAUAUUAUGGCCCUAGAGUUGCUGUGCCACCAUAUUUCAACUCAGCUGUUGCACCUGAACACCCACCUCCCCCUUAUAUGUGGGGACCUCCUCAGCCUAUGCCCUAUGGUACCGCCAUAUGGGGCACCUUAUGAUGCAAUUUACGCACCAGGAGGAGUUUAUGCGCACCCUGCAAUCCCUCUUGUUAUUCUUUUAUUUCAAAGGAUAGAAGGUGUAAAUGUUUGCCUUUUUCCAUGCAUGUCCAAGAGGUUGGAUCAUCCUGUAACCAGUAGAAUCAAAGAUGGGUCGAUACUUUUUAUCUUGAUAUUGUCAAGUAUUUUAGGCCUGACACAAAAGAGAUAAAAGAAGAAGCCCUUAAGUAUUGUUUAUCAUGAAUUUUUUUGGUAUACUUUCUACCCUAACUUUUUAGUCCAUAUUUAUUUGGAUUAUCAUAGUGGAGAUAAUUUCUCUAAUGUAUAGCAUUGUCUUCUUCUUUCUCUCAUGUUGGAUACCUUGAUUAUUGCAAGAGGCUUUAUCACCUGAUAUAUAUGGGUUUGUCUAUUAGUUAAAGGAGAAGAAUAUAUUCUACACGGUCAUCUAGAGACACAAAAAUCACCUAGACCUGACGAGUUGCGGCAGUGGUAUAAAUUUCUUUUACACGAUCCUUUCCCUACUCAUAAGAAUCAUGAUAAGUUUGUUCAUGACAUGCUUUAUACUUGUAUGUUUUACACUCUGGUUUCUCUUUUUGUUGUCUUUGGGAAGAUUUGAAACAUAGUACAUUUUUAUGCAAAUUGCACUCUUGUUAUUCUAAUCCUCUAAAGAAAAGAGAUAGCAAGUGAGCUAAGUUUCUCAGAUAAGGAAUUUCUGUAGAACAUGUUUAAGUUAGCAUGUAACCUAUAGUCCCACUUGAUUGCUUUAUUCUUAGGGAGGUAACUUAAUUCAUUGAGUUCUUCACUUGUUAUGUGAGUUGACAUUAGGUUGCCAGCUAUGUGAUAUAAGUAACAGUAUUGCAAUGUCGUGAUGUCGUCAAUGAAAUGCCUUGUUUAGUGGUGAAAGUUAGUGAUAUUUUUAUAUUUCUAACUAAUUAUUUCUUUUGUGUAUUAGUUUUUUCCAGAUUGUUGGGGGUACCAAGGACAACAUAAGCACUAUUUAUGGUAGGACUAUCUGAAAUUGCCGAAGAAAAGAAAAUUCAGGAAGCCUAAGCCGGAAUGGUGGUGGUUGGGUUCAGUACUCAGGAUGAUUGCUUUUGGGUUUAGUAUUUUGGCUCAAAUGUUGUUGAUGGUGCUGCUUAGUUGUUGUUUCCUUAUUGUUGAUGUAGUGGACUUGAGGGUGCAAUGAUGUUGUCUCUGUUCAUUUUGGCAAGAGUGGAGGUUGGGUUCAGUACUCAGGAUGAUUGCUUUUGGGUUUAGUAUUUUGGCUCAAAUGCUGUUGAUGGUGCUGCUUAGUUGUUGUUUCCUUAUUGUUGAUGUAGCGGACUUGAGGGUGCAAUGAUGUUGUCUCAGUUCAUUUUGGCAAGAGUGGACUUCAUUUGACUCUUUUUGGGUGUUUGUAGCUUUUUGUUGAGCGUGUCUUUGCUCUUUGUUUGUUUUGGUAGUUGUGUAUGUUUUGGUUUUAUUUCUUAUUGGUUGGUGGGGUUUUUUUCCGACCCUUGUAAAUACUUUUUUUAUUACAAAAAAAACAUUUAACAGUAUAAAGUAAUACA